GGGGGUAUAGCUCAGAGGUAGAGCGUUCGCUUUGCAUGCGAGAAGCCCGGGGUUCGAUCGCCGGUACUUCCA
rnacentral:tRNA from 1 species